CUCAUAUUAAAAGAUAUAAAAUUUUAAUCAAUAACGAGAGUGACGGGCGAUGUGUACACACUUCAGAGCCAAUAUCAGUUAAAUUAAAUAAUUUAAAUUACUAUCAAAUCCACCUUCAUUAAAAUAUUUCAAAAUUAAAUCCAUAAUAAAAAAAAAUUAUUGUAACCCAUCAUACACUUAAUUAUAAGCUGCACCUUGACCUGAAAUAAAUUUUAAUAAAAAAACAAGAAAAUUUUUUCUCCAAAAAGAUUUUCUGAUUAACGGAGAUAUACAAACAAAUAAAUUAAGUAAAGUAAAUCGUGUACUAUCAAUCAUGAGAUAGGUUCCUCUGAAUGGAAUGAAAUACCGCCAAAUUCUUUGGGUUUAAAGACCUUAACUAAUAAUACCCAGGUAAAACAAAAUUUACAUUUAAAAUAAUA
rnacentral:rRNA from 1 species